AAAGCUCGUAGUUGGAUUUCUGGCAGGAGUGACCGGUCACGCACUCUGUGCGUGAACUUGUGUUGUCUCUGGCCAUCCUUGGGGAGAUCCUGUUUGGCAUUAAGUUGUCGGGCAGGGGAUACCCAUCGUUUACUGUGAAAAAAUUAGAGUGUUUAAAGCAGGCUUAUGCCGUUGAAUAUAUUAGCAUGGAAUAAUAAGAUAGGACUUCGGAACUAUUUUGUUGGUUUGCGUUACGAAGUAAUGAUUAAAAGGGAUAGUUGGGGGUAUUCGU
rnacentral:rRNA from 1 species